rnacentral:rRNA from 1 species
GACGAACGCUGGCGGCGUGCUUAACACAUGCCAGUCGAACGGAAAGGCCCUGCUUUUGUGGGUUGCUCGAGUGGCGAACGGGUGAGUAACACGUGUGUAUCCUGCCCCUGUCUUUGGGAUAACUUCAGGAAACUGGGGCUCAUAUCGGAUAGGAGCUCCUGCUGCAUGGUGGGGGUUGGAAAGUUUCGGCGGUUUGGGAUGGAAUCGCGGCUUAUCAGCUUGUUGGUGGGGUAGUGGCUUUCCCAGCCUUUGACGGGUAGCAGGCCUGAGAGGGUGACCGGCCACAUUGGGACUGAGGGACGGCCCAGACUGCAACGGGAGGCAACGGUGGGGAAUAUUGCACAAUGGGCGGAAGCCAGAUGCAGCAACGCCGCGUGCGGGAUGACGGCCUUCGGGUGGUAAACCACUUUCGCAUGUGACGAAGCGUGAUUGACGGUAAUGGAUAAAAAAGCACCGGCUAACUACGUG